rnacentral:misc_RNA from 1 species
UGCGGAGGACAUUACCGUGUCCGUCGGGGCCGGGCUCCGGCCCGGUCCCGCACCCGGCCAUCCGUGUCUACUUUACCUGUUGCUUCGGCGGGCCUGCGGCCUCCGGGCUGCUGCCGGGGGAUCUUCGGGAUCCCCGGGCUCGUGUCCGCCGAAGACCACUGGAACUCUAGUGAAGAAUGACGUCUGAGUCUUGAUGAAAAUUAAUUUAAAACUUUCAACAACGGAUCUCUUGGUUCCGACAUCGAUGAAGAACGCAGCGAAAUGCGAUAAGUAAUGUGAAUUGCAGAAUUCCGUGAAUCAUCGAAUCUUUGAACGCACAUUGCGCCCUCUGGUAUUCCGGAGGGCAUGUCUGUCCGAGCGUCAUUGCAACCCUCAAGCCCGGCUUGUGUGUUGGGCCCCGUCCCCGCGGUGGACGGGCCCGAAAAACCAGUGGCGGUACCGAGCUCCGGUGCCCGAGCGUAUGGGGCUUUGUCACGCGCUCAGGUGGCCCGGCCGGUGCCCGCCGACCCCCGGUGGGCUGCGGGGAGGAUCCGUCCUUUUCCCGUGCCCCCGACUUUCCAGGUUGACCUCGGAUCAGAUAGGGAUACCCGCUGAACUUAAGCAUAUCAAUAA